UGCCAGCCGCCGCGGUAAUACGGAGGGUGCAAGCGUUACUCGGAAUCACUGGGCGUAAAGGGUGUGUAGGCGGGGCAGUAAGUCAGAGGUGAAAGCCCACGGCUCAACCGUGGAAUUGCCUUUGAUACUGCUGUUCUUGAGUCUCGGAGAGGUCGCCGGAAUUCGUGGUGUAGCGGUGAAAUGCGUAGAUAUCACGAGGAACACCAGAGGCGUAGGCGGGCGACUGGACGAGUACUGACGCUGAGGCACGAAAGCGUGGGGAGCAAACAGGAUUAGAUA
rnacentral:rRNA from 1 species